UUGAACGCUGGCGGAAUGCUUUACACAUGCAAGUCGAGCGGCAGCGCGGGGCAACCUGGCGGCGAGCGGCGGACGGGUGAGUAAUACAUCGGAACGUACCCAGUCGUGGGGGAUAACCUACCGAAAGGUAGGCUAAUACCGCAUACGACCUGAGGGUGAAAGCGGGGGAUCGCAAGACCUCGCGCGAUUGGAGCGGCCGAUAUCGGAUUAGCUAGUUGGUGAGGUAAAGGCUCACCAAGGCGACGAUCCGUAGCGGGUCUGAGAGGACGACCCGCCACACUGGAACUGAGACACGGUCCAGACUCCUACGGGAGGCAGCAGUGGGGAAUUUUGGACAAUGGGGGAAACCCUGAUCCAGCCAUUCCGCGUGAGUGAAGAAGGCCUUCGGGUUGUAAAGCUCUUUCAGCAGGAACGAAACGGUCGGCUUUAAUAAAGUCGGCUAAUGACGGUACCUGCAGAAGAAGCACCGGCUAACUACGU
rnacentral:rRNA from 1 species